UUGUGGUAAGACCUGCCAUAAAAAAAUUGUCUUGAAUAUGUUCGAGAACCGCAUAACUUGCUGAGCGCAGGAAAACCGCAGUACCAAACUCAAUCAGAUUUGAGCUGCAACUUACCUAUGUUGUCCUCAAGCGGUUCAUAAAGCAAGCAACCACUUUAUCAGCCUCAAGACAUCCUGCAGGAAGAUAUUAGAUGAGCAAAG
rnacentral:lncRNA from 1 species